CCCCUAGAUGUUCUGGGCAGCACGCGCGCUACACUGAACAGUUCAACAAGUCUUAACCUUGGCCGAUAGGUCUGGGUAAUCUUUGAACGCUGUUCGUGAUUGGGAUAGACCUUUGCAAUUAUGGGUCUUCAACGAGGAAUUCCUAGUAAACGCAAGUCAUCAGCUUGCAUUGAUUACGUCCCUGCCCUUUGUACACACCGCCCGUCGCACCUACCGAUUGAAUGGUCCGGUGAAAUCUCGGGACGGCGGCUUGGUCGCUUGCGUCCGACUGCUGAAACUUGAUUAAACCAUAUCAUUUAGAGGAAGGUGAAGUCGUAACA
rnacentral:rRNA from 1 species